AAUCAUUUUAAUUUUUUGCAAAGCAUCCUUAUUUGAUAUAUGUAUAAACAUAUAAAUUUAUGGAGUUUGCUCCUUGUCUAGAAGUUAGGUAUCUCGAACAUCAAAAAAUGCUGCAUCCGUGCCUGAUCUUCCAAUAAAAAUGCCUUUAAACUCAGAUGCUCUUAUAAUGUUAGGUUUAUAAUUGCAAUUUGAAUUGCAAAGCAAUGAAGCUUGUGUGAUAGCAAUAUUUAACUAAAAAGUUAUGUAACUUAUUAUAAGGAAAAGCUCGCACCAUUGUUUCCAGACGAUAAAUAAAUCUAAAUUUUAUUUGGAAAAGAAGUAGAAUGCAACAUUCAAAAAGUGACAUUUAGAUCAAGCCUGUAUAUCUGUCGAAAACCAAUUUUAUAGUUAAAGCGAUGCUAUAGCCGAGCACAUAUCUCUAUCUCUCUGAAUAUAUAUCUCUCAAAGACCAAUUCUACAAAUUUGUGACAUUUUCUGCAUUUCUUUUUGUAAGGGCUUUACCGCAAUAUUUGCUAUCUAUUAUUUAUUUCAAAUAAAACUCUUAAUAGUUA